rnacentral:other from 1 species
AGAAGCCUGGAAUGUACGAUAAAUCUUGUUAUUUUGAACCUACAUUUACUUUAAACGGGAUUCUUAUAUUGCCUUAUUAAUGUCAGGCCUCCAUUAGUCAGAGGAAGGCAGAGGUAAGGUUGCGGUUACCCACCUAGCUUCGCUAGGAGUCAAAAUACAAGACGCGGCAUUUUGGGUGCUUG